UACGGAGGGUGCAAGCGUUAAUCGGAAUGACUGGGCGUAAAGGGCGCGUAGGCGGCGGUCACAGUCAGAUGUGAAAUUCCUGGGCUUAACCUGGGGGGCUGCAUUUGAUACGUGGUUGCUUGAGUGGGGAAGAGGGUCGUGGAAUUCCCAGUGUAGAGGUGAAAUUCGUAGAUAUUGGGAAGAACACCGGUGGCGAAGGCGGCGACCUGGUCCUUGACUGACGCUGAGGCGCGAAAGUGUGGGGAGCGAACAGG
rnacentral:rRNA from 1 species